rnacentral:rRNA from 1 species
GAGUUUGAUCCAUGGCUCAGAUUGAACGCUGGCGGAAUGCUUUACACAUGCAAGUCGAGCGGCAGCGCGGGGCAACCUGGCGGCGAGCGGCGAACGGGUGAGUAAUGCAUCGGAACAUGUCCAUGGAUGGGGGAUAGCCCGGCGAAAGCCGGAUUAAUACCGCAUGAGCCCGAGAGGGGAAAGUGGGGGACCGCAAGGCCUCACGUCGAUGGGUUGGCCGAUGCCCGAUUAGCUAGUUGGUGAGGUAAAGGCUCACCAAGGCGAUGAUCGGUAGCUGGUCUGAGAGGAUGAUCAGCCACACUGGGACUGAGACACGGCCCAGACUCCUACGGGAGGCAGCAGUGGGGAAUUUUGGACAAUGGGGGCAACCCUGAUCCAGCCAUUCCGCGUGAGUGAAGAAGGCCUUCGGUUGUAAG